AAGAAAAGAAAUUAAGUGCAACCCAGCAAUUAAGAAAUCAAUUUGAAGUUCAGGAACGAAAACAGAAAUCAAGAUCCCAAUUCAAACAUUGCAAUUUCAGUUACACCAGAGAAUUCCUAAUUUCCCAAUUUUAGCAAACCCUAAUCUCCAAAAUCAGAUAACAAAAGGAACCCUAAAUCGUAGAGUCAAGAAUUUCUCAAUCACAACUCGUCGUUGACGUUGUCGUCGCCGGAUAAGGCAGUCAUUCGCCCUCGCUGUUGUCGCUGGAGAUCACUCCUGACGCAUUGUUGUCGUCUUCUCUCACCACCGCGACGCCGUUCGCACAUAGGCUCGGUCAGAACUGAACCCGCGUCCACACUUGCGGGUUGAUUCGAAGGAGGAAAGCUUUCGCGACACCCACCGCCCAAAGAACACCCAUGCUCAGAGCACUG
rnacentral:lncRNA from 1 species